UAGCUAGUUGGUGAGGUAACGGCUUACCAAGGCGACGAUCUGUAGCGGGUCUGAGAGGAUGAUCCGCCACACUGGAACUGAGACACGGUCCAGACUCCUACGGGAGGCAGCAGUGGGGAAUUUUGGACAAUGGGGGCAACCCUGAUCCAGCCAUGCCGCGUGAGUGAAGAAGGCCUUCGGGUUGUAAAGCUCUUUCGGCCGGGAAGAAAUCGCAUGGGCCAAUACCCUGUGUGGAUGACGGUACCGGAAUAAGAAGCACCGGCUAACUACGUGCCAGCAGCCGCGGUAAUACGUAGGGUGCGAGCGUUAAUCGGAAUUACUGGGCGUAAAGCGUGCGCAGGCGGUUUUGUAAGACAGGCGUGAAAUCCCCGGGCUCAACCUGGGAACUGCGUUUGUGACUGCAAGGCUAGAGUACGGCAGAGGGGGGUGGAAUUCCACGUGUAGCAGUGAAAUGCGUAGAGAUGUGGAGGAACACCAAUGGCGAAGGCAGCCCCCUGGGUCGAUACUGACGCUCAUGCACGAAAGCGUGGGUAGCAAACAGGAUUAGAUACCCUGGUAGUCCACGCCCUAAACUAUGUCAACUAGGUGUUGGGUGGGUAAAACCAUUUAGUACCGUAGCUAACGCGUGGAGUUGACCGCCUGGGGAGUACGGCCGCAAGGUUAAAACUCAAAGGAAUUGACGGGGACCCGCACAAGCGGUGGAUGAUGUGGAUUAAUUCGAUGCAACGCGAAAAACCUUACCUACCCCUUGACAUGCCAGGAACUUGCCAGAGAUGGCUUGGUGCCCGAAAGGGAGCCUGGACACAGGUGCUGCAUGGCUGUCGUCAGCUCGUGUCGUGAGAUGUUGGUUUAAGUCCCGCAACGAGCGCAACCCUUGUCGUUAAUUGCCAUCAUUUAGUUGGGCACUUUAGCGAGACUGCCGGUGACAAACCGGAGGAAGGUGGGGAUGACGUCAAGUCCUCAUGGCCCUUAUGGGUAGGGCUUCACACGUCAUACAAUGGUCGGUACAGAGGGUCGCCAAGCCGCGAGGUGGAGCCAAUCCCAGAAAGCCGAUCGUAGUCCGGAUUGCAGGCUGCAACUCGCCUGCAUGAAGUCGGAAUCGCUAGUAAUCGUGGAUCAGCAUGUCACGGUGAAUACGUUCCCGGGUCUUGUACACACCGCCCGUCACACCAUGGGAGCGGGUUCCGCCAGAAGUAGGUAGCCUAACCGCAAGGAGGGCGCUUACCACGGCGGGGUUCGUGACUGGGGUGAAGUCGGAACAAGGUAGCCGUAGGGGAACCUGCGGCUG
rnacentral:rRNA from 1 species